rnacentral:ncRNA from 1 species
AUUAGUGACCUGCAUGAACGGAGCUAUGAGGUUCUCACUGUCCCAACUGUCUCUCAGCGAACCAACUGUAGUGGGAACGGUCACUAGAUAUCCAGCGGGGAAAGAAGACCCUGUAGAGCUUCACUUUGGUCUAGUCUUGUAUAGUUCCUGCGGGGGUGUAGACUAGGUGGGAGAGCAAUCGAUUCUGAAAAACCACUACCCUGUUUGGAAUUAUGCUUACCUAUCACAAGGAAUAGGACUAGAUAGAAAGUUUGGCUGGGGCGGCACACCUUCGAAAGAGCAGCGAAGGUGUCCUAAGUUGAGCUCAGUGAGGACAGAAAUCUCACGUUGAGGAUAAGGCCAAAAGCUCAAUUUACUGUGCCUUUUUGUACUAGGAUCAGUUACGAAAGUAAGGCCUAACGAUCCCUAAAUAGCCUCAGGUGCGUGAGGAUUGGGGUGACAGACAAGUUACCUCCGGGACAACUGGCUUGUGGCUGCUAAGAGAUCAAAUCAACGCAGCUUUUUGAUUCUUCGAUGUCGGCUCUUCCUAUCCUAGUGAUGUACAAGUUGCUAAGGGUCGGAUUGUUCACCCGUAUUAGGGAUCGUGAGCUGGGUUUAGACCGUCGUGAGCCAGGUUUGUUUUAUCCUACUGGAUAUAGCAUCAUGAUAGUAGAUUGAUUUAGUACGAGAGGAACUGUUGAUUAUGGCCUCUGGUUAGCGAUUAUCGGAAACGGUAUGUCGCGCAGCUACGCCGUCUGGGAUAAUGGCUGAAAGCCUCUUAAGCCAGAAGCCCAUCUAGAAAGUGAUGCACGUGAUGUUGGACCGAUACGAAUAAUCAUACUCAAAAGGUCCGCUUCAUAGGUAACCCAAUGUAGAAGACAUUGUGUGAACGAAGGUACUGUAAGCAGUGGAG